rnacentral:rRNA from 1 species
UACGUAGGGACCAAGCGUUGUCCGGAAUCAUUGGGCGUAAAGAGCGUGUAGGCGGCCUGUUAAGUCUUGCGUGAAAUCUCGGGGCUCAACCCCGAGCGGUCGUGAGAAACUGGCAGGCUAGAGUGCGGGAGAGGAGAGUGGAAUUCCUGGUGUAGCGGUGAAAUGCGCAGAUAUCAGGAAGAACACCCGUGGCGAAGGCGGUUCUCUGGGACGGUACUGACGCUGAGACGCGAAAGCGUGGGGAGCGAACAGG